UUAAGCGAACAAGCGUACACGGUGGAUGCCCUGGCAGUCAGAGGCGAUGAAGGACGUGCUAAUCUGCGAAAAGCGCCGGUAAGGGUGAUAUGAACCGUUAUAAACCGGCGAUGUCCGAAUGGGGAAACCCGGUGCACUUCGGUGCAUCAUCGUUAGCUGAUACAUAGGCUAACGAGGCGAACCGGGGGAACUGAAACAUCUAAGUACCCCGAGGAAAAGAAAUCAACCGAGAUUCCCCCAGUAGCGGCGAGCGAACGGGGAAACAGCCCAGAGCCUGAAUCAGCUUGUGUGUCAGUGGAACGGUCUGGAAAGGCCGCGAUACAGGGUGACAGCCCCGUACACGAAGGCACACAGGCUGUGAGCUCGAUGAGUAGGGCGGGACACGUGAUAUCCUGUCUGAAGAUGGGGGGACCAUCCUCCAAGGCUAAAUACUCCUGACCUGACCGAUAGUGAACCAGUACCGUGAGGGAAAAGGCGAAAAGAACCCCGGCGAGGGGAGUGAAACAGAACCUGAAACCGUGUACGUACAAGCAGUGGGAGCCUUCGUAAGAGGGUGACUGCGUACCUUUUGUAUAAUGGGUCAGCGACUUAUAUUCUGUAGCAAGGUUAACCGUAUAGGGGAGCCGAAGGGAAACCGAGUCUUAACCGGGCGUUAAGUUGCAGGGUAUAGACCCGAAACCCGGUGAUCUAGCCAUGGGCAGGUUGAAGGUUGGGUAACACUAACUGGAGGACCGAACCGACUAAUGUUGAAAAAUUAGCGGAUGACCUGUGGCUGGGGGUGAAAGGCCAAUCAAACCGGGAGAUAGCUGGUUCUCCCCGAAAGCUAUUUAGGUAGCGCCUCGUGAACUCAUCUCCGGGGGUAGAGCACUGUUUCGGCUAGGGGGCCAUCCCGGCUUACCAACCCGAUGCAAACUGCGAAUACCGGAGAAUGUUAUCACGGGAGACACACGGCGGGUGCUAACGUCCGUCGUGAAGAGGGAAACAACCCAGACCGCCAGCUAAGGUCCCAAAGUCAUGGUUAAGUGGGAAACGAUGUGGGAAGGCCCAGACAGCCAGGAUGUUGGCUUAGAAGCAGCCAUCAUUUAAAGAAAGCGUAAUAGCUCACUGGUCGAGUCGGCCUGCGCGGAAGAUGUAACGGGGCUAAACCAUGCACCGAAGCUGCGGCAGCGACGCUUAUGCGUUGUUGGGUAGGGGAGCGUUCUGUAAGCCUGCGAAGGUGUGCUGUGAGGCAUGCUGGAGGUAUCAGAAGUGCGAAUGCUGACAUAAGUAACGAUAAAGCGGGUGAAAGCCCGCUCGCCGGAAGACCAAGGGUUCCUGUCCAACGUUAAUCGGGGCAGGGUGAGUCGACCCCUAAGGCGAGGCCGAAAGGCGUAGUCGAUGGGAAACAGGUUAAUAUUCCUGUACUUGGUGUUACUGCGAAGGGGGGACGGAGAAGGCUAUGUCGGCCGGGCGACGGUUUGUCCCGGUUUAAGCGUGUAGGCUGACUUUCCAGGCAAAUCCGGAAAGUUAAGGCUGAGGCGUGAUGACGAGGCACCACGGUGCUGAAGUGACAAAUGCCCUGCUUCCAGGAAAAGCCUCUAAGCAUCAGGUAACAUCAAAUCGUACCCCAAACCGACACAGGUGGUCAGGUAGAGAAUACCAAGGCGCUUGAGAGAACUCGGGUGAAGGAACUAGGCAAAAUGGUGCCGUAACUUCGGGAGAAGGCACGCUGACAUGUAGGUGAAGCCCCUGCGGGUGGAGCUGAAGUCAGUCGAAGAUACCAGCUGGCUGCAACUGUUUAUUAAAAACACAGCACUGUGCAAACACGAAAGUGGACGUAUACGGUGUGACGCCUGCCCGGUGCCGGAAGGUUAAUUGAUGGGGUUAUCGCAAGAGAAGCUCCUGAUCGAAGCCCCGGUAAACGGCGGCCGUAACUAUAACGGUCCUAAGGUAGCGAAAUUCCUUGUCGGGUAAGUUCCGACCUGCACGAAUGGCGUAAUGAUGGCCAGGCUGUCUCCACCCGAGACUCAGUGAAAUUGAACUCGCUGUGAAGAUGCAGUGUACCCGCGGCAAGACGGAAAGACCCCGUGAACCUUUACUACAGCUUGACACUGAACAUUGAGCCUUGAUGUGUAGGAUAGGUGGGAGGCUUUGAAGCGUGGACGCCAGUCUGCGUGGAGCCGACCUUGAAAUACCACCCUUUAAUGUUUGAUGUUCUAACCUGGCGCCAUAAUCUGGCGUGGGGACAGUGUCUGGUGGGUAGUUUGACUGGGGCGGUCUCCUCCCAAAGUGUAACGGAGGAGCACGAAGGUCAGCUAAUCCUGGUCGGACAUCAGGAGGUUAGUGCAAUGGCAUAAGCUGGCUUGACUGCGAGAGUGACGGCUCGAGCAGGUGCGAAAGCAGGUCAUAGUGAUCCGGUGGUUCUGUAUGGAAGGGCCAUCGCUCAACGGAUAAAAGGUACUCCGGGGAUAACAGGCUGAUACCGCCCAAGAGUUCAUAUCGACGGCGGUGUUUGGCACCUCGAUGUCGGCUCAUCACAUCCUGGGGCUGAAGUAGGUCCCAAGGGUAUGGCUGUUCGCCAUUUAAAGUGGUACGCGAGCUGGGUUUAGAACGUCGUGAGACAGUUCGGUCCCUAUCUGCCGUGGGCGCUGGAGAAUUGAGGGGGGCUGCUCCCAGUACGAGAGGACCGGAGUGGACGCAUCACUGGUGUUUCGGGUUGUCAUGCCAAUGGCACUGCCCGGUAGCUAAAUGCGGAAGAGAUAAGUGCUGAAAGCAUCUAAGCACGAAACUUGCCCCGAGAUGAGUUCUCCCUGAGACUAUAAGUCUCCUGAAGGAACGUUGAAGACGACGACGUUGAUAGGCCGGGUGUGUAAGCGCAGCGAUGCGUUGAGCUAACCGGUACUAAUGAACCGUGAGGCUUAACCUU
rnacentral:rRNA from 1 species